GACGAACGCUGGCGGCGUGCUUAACACAUGCAAGUCGAACGGAAAGGCCCUGCUUUUGUGGGGUGCUCGAGUGGCGAACGGGUGAGUAACACGUGAGUAACCUGCCCUUGACUUUGGGAUAACUUCAGGAAACUGGGGCUAAUACCGGAUAGGAGCUCCUGCUGCAGGGUGGGGGUUGGAAAGUUUCGGCGGGUGGGGAUGGACUCGCGGCUAAUCAGCUUGUUGGUGGGGUAGUGGCUUACCAAGGCUUUGACGGGUAGCCGGCCUGAGAGGGUGACCGGCCACAUUGGGACUGCGAUACGGCCCAGACUCCUACGGGAGGCAGCAGUGGGGAAUAUUGCACAAUGGGCGGAAGCCUGAUGCAGCAACGCCGCGUGCGGGAUGACGGCCUUCGGGUUGUAAACCGCUUUCGCCUGCGACGAAGCGUGAGUGACGGUAAUGGGUAAAGAAGCACCGGCUAACUACGUG
rnacentral:rRNA from 1 species